AUUGAACGCUGGCGGCAUGCCUUACACAUGCAAGUCGAACGGCAGCGGGGACGUCGGUCCGCCGGCGAGUGGCGAACGGGUGAGUAAUGUAUCGGAACGUACCAUUCAGUGGGGGAUAACUAUCCGAAAGGGUAGCUAAUACCGCAUAUUCUGUGAGCGGGAAAGCAGGGGAUCGCAAGACCUUGCGCUGAUUGAGCGGCCGAUAUCAGAUUAGCUAGUUGGUGAGGUAACGGCUCACCAAAGCUACGAUCUGUAGCGGGUCUGAGAGGAUGAUCCGCCACACUGGGACUGAGACACGGCCCAGACUCCUACGGGAGGCAGCAGUGCGGAAUUUUGGACAAUGGGCGCAAGCCUGAUCCAGCCAUGCCGCGUGAGUGAAGAAGGCCUUCGGGUUGUAAAGCUCUUUCGGCCGGGAAGAAAUCGCAUCAGCUAAUACCUGGUGUGGAUGACGGUACCGGAAUAAGAGGCACCGGCUAACUACGUGCCAGCCGCCGCAGUAAAAC
rnacentral:rRNA from 1 species